rnacentral:rRNA from 1 species
ACGGUACUUAACGAGGAAGCCCCGGCUAACUACGUGCCAGCAGCCGCGGUAAUACGUAGGGGGCAAGCGUUGUCCGGAAUUAUUGGGCGUAAAGCGCGCGCAGGCGGUUCUUUAAGUCUGAUGUGAAAUCCCACGGCUCAACCGUGGAGGUGCAUUGGAAACUGGGGAACUUGAGGACAGAAGAGGAGAGUGGAAUUCCACGUGUAGCGGUGAAAUGCGUAGAUAUGUGGAGGAACACCAGUGGCGAAGGCGACUCUCUGGUCUGUCUCUGACGCUGAGGUGCGAAAGCGUGGGUAGCAAACAGGAUUAGAUACCCUGGUAGUCCACGCUGUAAACGAUGAGUGCUAGGUGUUAGGGGGCUUCCACCCCUUAGUGCUGAAGUUAACGCAUUAAGCACUCCGCCUGGGGAGUACGGCCGCAAGGCUGAAACUCAAAGGAAUUGACGGGGGCCCGCACAAGCGGUGGAGCAUGUGGUUUAAUUCG